UACGUAGGGUGCAAGCGUUGUCCGGAAUUAUUGGGCGUAAAGAGCUCGUAGGCGGUCUGUCGCGUCGGCUGUGAAACCCCGGGGCUCAACCCCGGGCCUGCAGUCGAUACGGGCAGACUAGAGUAUUGCAGGGGAGACUGGAAUUCCUGGUGUAGCGGUGAAAUGCGCAGAUAUCAGGAGGAACACCGGUGGCGAAGGCGGGUCUCUGGGCAAUAACUGACGCUGAGGAGCGAAAGCGUGGGGAGCGAACAGG
rnacentral:rRNA from 1 species